rnacentral:rRNA from 1 species
AUUGAACGCUGGCGGCAUGCUUUACACAUGCCAGUCGAACGGCAGCGGGGUAGUGCUUGCACUACUGCCGGCGAGUGGCGAACGGGUGAGUCAUAUAUCGGAACGUACUGAGUAAUGGGGGAUAACCAAUCGAAAGAUUGGCUAAUACCGCAUACGUCCUGAGGGAGAAAGCGGGGGAUCGCAAGACCUCGCGUUAUUCGAGCGGCCGAUAACUGAUUAGCUAGUUGGUGGGGUAAAGGCCUACCAAGGCGACGAUCAGUAGCGGGUCUGAGAGGACGAUCCGCCACACUGGGACUGAGACACGGCCCAGACUCCUACGGGAGGCAGCAGUGGGGAAUUUUGGACAAUGGGGGCAACCCUGAUCCAGCCAUGCCGCGUGUAUGAAGAAGGCCUUCGGGUUGUAAAGUACUUUUGUUAGGGAAGAAAAGGGAAGUGCUAAUACCACUUUUUGCUGACGGUACCUAAAGAAUAAGCACCGGCUAACUACGUG